rnacentral:rRNA from 1 species
UACGUAGGUGGCAAGCGUUGUCCGGAUUUACUGGGCGUAAAGAGCGCGCAGGCGGUCGUCCAAGUCGCGUGUGAAAGCCCCCGGCUCAACUGGGGAGGGUCACGCGAUACUGAUCGACUCGAAGGCAGGAGAGGGAAGUGGAAUUCCCGGUGUAGUGGUGAAAUUCGUAGAUAUCGGGAGGAACACCAGUGGCGAAGGCGGCGAUCUGGGCUGAUACUGACGCUGAGGUGCGAAAGCGUGGGGAGCAAACAGG